rnacentral:lncRNA from 1 species
GUACUAUUUCUCACAAGAGUGGUGGGGCAAGACAAUGCCGAAGCAGCCAACAACGUUAGCAAGUGGACGGGAACUGUUUACAUUUUCUCUCUUCUUGGAGCUUUCCUUAGUGAUUCCUACUGGGGAAGGUUCAAGACUUGCGCCAUCUUUCAAGCCAUUUUCGUCGUUGUAAGUACUUUAACAAUAAUCACUUUCACUUCAAUUCUAAUAAUAAUAUACAAUAAUUGUCUAACUUUUUUUUUUCUUUUCUUUAAAUCACCUUUUAAAAAGUCAUAUGAAAAUUGCUCCAACAACUUCAUAAGUUGUAAUUAUUUUAUUUGUCUUUUAAUACCCUGUUUUAUAUGUCAAUAAUAACAAAGAAACGAUAUGACACAACAUAAAGAUUAUUUAGCGUGUAUGGAAUUAUUGACAUGAUGUUUAAGGGCGUCGUGUCAACUUUGUUAGGGUAUCUAUCAUAUUAUUGUUGUUGGUUGGUUUUCCCUAUUUGCCAAAACUAUUCAAAAUGAAAAAUGUUAGGGUUUUUUUUUUUUUUAAUGUUAAAAAUGGGGAUUUAAUAACUUGAAAAAAAAGAAGAUUGUUUGAAUGAAAAUCAGUUAAUUUUACCAUGAAAUGGUGUGAUAAACCGUAUAUUGUUUGGGGUGUUAGAAUGUUUAAUAAUAAAACUUAUAAAAAAUCAAUGGAACUAUUCAUAGUGUCAAUUUCAACUUUAAUUCAAACUUUGCAAUUAAUAUAAUUCCACUCACUUGUAAAUUUUGUAAUGGGUACUUUAUGACCACACGGUGUCGUUUAGUGAGAAAAAGUAAAAAGGAAAAGUUGCCUUCAUCUAGACAUAAACCUAAACAAAUGUUUGGUUGAUAUCAACCACAAAACAGAUGUUUAAUAAAGUGCAAACUCAAGGUAAUCGUGUGUUAGAAAGUGACCCAAUAAUUUAUGUUAAUAGUAAUAAAAAAUACAUGCAACUUAUUUUUACUUUAAGUAAUUGCAUUAGUUAAUAUUGUAAAGAAAAUGAAAGAAAUUUAGUUACAAGUGAAGAAGCAUGAACUAUUAAUUUACUAUCCCAUGGUUUAUUUUUAUUGGAUCAAGAUAUGCACAAAUUGAUGAAAAAAGUCAAAAUGUAAAAGGGUGAAUAUGGACAAAGAUUGUAUUAUUUACCCUUUUUCUUCUUCUUCUUGGACAGGGUCUUGCUUCAUUAUCAAUAACAUCCUACAUAUUUCUGGUGAGACCUAAAGGAUGUGGUGAUGAACAUACACCAUGCAAUUCUCAUUCUUCCCUCCAUAUUGCUCUGUUCUACCUCUCAGUUUACUUGGUUGCUCUUGGCAAUGGAGGUUACCAACCCAAUAUAGCUACAUUUGGGGCAGAUCAGUUUGAUGAAGAAGACCCUAAAGAAGGCCAGUCUAAGAUUGCUUUCUUCAGCUAUUUCUACUUGGCAUUGAACCUUGGUUCCCUAUUCUCCAACACAAUUUUGGGUUAUUUUGAAGAUGAAGGAAUGUGGGUUCUUGGGUUUUGGGCUUCUACAGCUUCUGCUGCCUUGGCUUUGCUCUUGUUCCUCUGCGGAAUCCCUAGAUACAGACAUUUCACUCCUAAAGGGAACCCCCUCUCUAGGGUUUCUCAAGUGGUGAUUGCAGCUACUAGGAAAUGGAAGGUUCAGAUGAUACCUAAUUCAGAGGGAUUGUUUGAUGAUGAUGACAAGGAAUUGGCUAGCAAUGGAGCUAGGAGAAUUCUUCAUACCAAUGGGUUCAAGUGAGUUUCUUAAUCAAUUUCCGUUUCAGAGUUUUGAUUGUUUGAUUGAUUUCAGGAGAAAUGAAAGUAAUGUGUGUACGUGUGCUUUUGUCGUUAUCUACAGAUUUUUGGAUAAAGCAGCAGUAAUUACCUCGUCGGAGUAUGACCAAUUAGACGACGGAGCUCGGAAUCCAUGGCGUUUAUGCACGGUUACUCAAGUCGAAGAAGUCAAAUGCAUUCUCAGACUCCUCCCGAUUUGGCUUUGCACGAUUCUCUACUCCGUC